rnacentral:lncRNA from 10 species
GUGGGUCAGGGAACUCUCCCAUUUCAAUUGUAUGGGAUCCCAAUUUUUCAUAGGUUUAUCAGUUUUCUCAGAGAAAAAUUCUUCCAUUCGCCCCUGGGUGCUACAAGCCUAGCUGCUAAUGCGCCAAAAGCCAGUUGUAGGAGGGAAACAGUGUAGAGAUGGUCUUCAGUGCCACCAUCCGUCCGUCUUUCUUCCAGCUGUGCCAGAUCUCCCUCUCCCAGGCAGAAUCCUGCAGGAGUGGGGCACGGACAGCUGCCUGGCAAGGAGGGUUAAGAGGAGAAGAACCGGAAGAGAUCUAACUUGGUUUUUAUACGAAGUUUCAACCAGUCCUCCUGUUUUCAGGCCUGCCCAGCACUCCCACCUUCGGAGGAACCAGUUGCCCCCAAAGGCUGAGUCUUUCUGGGAUUCUCAGACUCGUUGAUCUGUUUUUCCUUUGACGUGGGAUUUCACCAUAUUGGCCAGGCUGGUCUCGAACUCCUGACCUCGUGAUCCACUGGCUUCUGCCUCCCAAAGUGCUGGGAUUACAGGUGUGAGCCACCACACUGGCUUACCAAGGCAGACAAGUUCAUCUUCAAGAAAACUAAGAGAUCUCUUCCCCUGACAAAAAACAACUCCAUGUUUGAUGGGACUCAGACCUGGGCUCUUCUGUCACCUCUAGGUAGGGAGGUCUUGGAGAGCAAGUGAGACCAGAGUGUUCAUGGAAAGUCACCAUCCACAGACAUUGGAAAAAUAGUCAUUCCCAAUUUCUGCUAUGUGAUCCCGGUAUGGCCUUGCUGAUUUGUUUGCUUUCUAAUUCCUUGGUUUAAGUAGAAAGGAGGAUCCUCUUUACAGUGUUACUGUGCAGAGUAGUAAUUGUCAACCUCGAUCUUGUAAAAAGCAAGAAUCUUUCUGAGGAUGUUGCAAACUCUCAAGAGGUUUGAAUCUAGCCUGGUAUGCCCCUCCCACCGAGCACAUGACAUCAGGAGAACCAGUUGUGAAAUUAAACAAUGAUAGGGUGAUGCAACUUCAAAGAAGUUGGAAAUUUUUGAUAUAAUACGGUUAUAAAGCUACAGGUUAUAAGAAUAAGUGACUUGAAUUUAUGGUGAGUCAUAUGACAAUCUCAGCACUUCACUUGGUGGCUGUUUCCAAAGGAGGGAGAAGGAAAAGACAGAGAAGAGAUGAG